UGGGAUUGGUUGCAGGUAGUGCAUUUUGGGGAGCAAUGGCUUCCCGUAUUGUGUCAACAUGUUGGCCCAGGCCGUGCAGGUGAAUCUCAAAGCCAAUUGAAGCUCUCCAUGUUUUUUCAGUCCAGAGGGCUGAAGAACCAAUAAAGGGUAAUAAUGCGUAUAUACUUUGUCUGUCUCUAAUGUGGAUAAUCGAAUCCUUACUUUUCCAAUUCUCUGGUCUUUUGCGUCUUCUUUGCUUCCGUUUGUGUGAGCGUUGUCAAAAACCCCAAUUGUGAUUACAGUGCAAGGAUCGUAAACUUCCCAAGUGUACUGUUCGUUCCAGCGAGGGGCGAGGGUGUCUAAUAGAGUUCUGGUUCGAACCCAUUUGUUGCCAUAUUUGGCAACGCAGUAAGCAUCUGUGAUUCUUCCUUCUUUGCUCUUCAUUGG
rnacentral:lncRNA from 1 species